rnacentral:rRNA from 1 species
GAUGAACGCUGGCGGCGUGCUUAACACAUGCAAGUCGAACGGAAAGGCUCCUGCUUGCAGGGGUACUCGAGUGGCGAACGGGUGAGUAACACGUGGGUGACCUGCCCUGCACUUCGGGAUAAGCCUGGGAAACUGGGUCUAAUACCGGAUAGGACCUCCUUCUGGAUGGUGUGGUGGAAAGUUUUUCGGUGUGGGAUGAGCUCGCGGCCUAUCAGCUUGUUGGUGGGGUAGUGGCCUACCAAGGCGUCGACGGGUAGCCGGCCUGAGAGGGUGAACGGCCACAUUGGGACUGAGAUACGGCCCAGACUCCUACGGGAGGCAGCAGUGGGGAAUAUUGCACAAUGGGCGGAAGCCUGAUGCAGCGACGCCGCGUGGGGGAUGACGGCCUUCGGGUUGUAAACUGCUUUCGCUAGGGACGAAGCGCAAGUGACGGUACCUGGUGAAGAAGCACCGGCUAACUACGUG